GCAGGAUCUCAGUCCUGCCUGCUUCAGCGGCCUCGCGCUCCAGCCUCGCCAGUGUGCCACCAACUGGGCAGAGGGGAGGGAGCCUGCCAUGCUGCCUGGGCGCGCAGCUUCGCUGUCUGGCUUGACAGCACGGCAUCCAGAGGUGCAGGAGGCGCGGAAGACAUGCUGGGUGGCCUGGGCCCCCUGGGGAUCCAGCCAGGCCCACGGCCCUCGCGACAUCUUCAGCCCAGGGAGGAGAGGGACUGAAGUGGGGGCUUCAAACAGGACGAGUCACCUAGAGAGGGAAAGUCACAGCUACAGAGCGGGAGCGCGCCAUUCUCACCUGGAAUGUGUUAAUGACAGUGGAGGGGAUUCACAGCUGGCCUCUGCCACCUGCUAAGACAAGCUGGGCGUCACCUCCUUGGCACUGUCCCUGGCAAGAGCUCUCCUCUGACAGGUAAAGCAGGAGGAGACUUGGACGACCCUGGGGGCACUGUGUUGGGUUU
rnacentral:lncRNA from 1 species